UCAGGUCGGGAGGGGCAGAGAGAUCAGGGGUAGAGAUGGGGAACAGCGGGGACUAGGCUGGAGAAAGAUGUAGGAGAACAGCAGGGCUGGGGGACUGGUUGGAUGGGGAUAACCAAGAUAGCUGUGGGGCCCGAAGGUGCUUGCAUGUACCCGGUUGGGGAAGGGGUAGUGCUGUAUCCUCUCGACAGACCUCUCUGGGGUGAACAGCCUGGGGCACCCAAGAUGAGGUGGAGAAAGGUGGGCUGAGGCAUGGGAAGCAGGUCCUCAUUAGCCCAAUGGCCAGGCUGCGGCGUUCCUGCCAUCAAACCGGCACUGAGCUUCAGCCAGAGGAUUGUCAACGGGGAGAAUGCAGUGUCGGGCUCCUGGCCCUGGCAGGUGUCCCUGCAGGUACACCACCGGAGGAGUGGGCAGGGUCCUGGGUACGUCAUGCCUAGGGGCAGCCUCAGCAGCCCACUCGCACUCUGACCUCUGAGCCCUGACCACAGGACAGAAGCGGCUUCCACUUCUGCGGUGUUCUCUCAUCAGCCAGUCCUGGGUGGUCACUGCUGCCCACUGCAACGCCAGCCCUGGCCGCCAUUUUGUUGUCCUGGGCGAGUAUGACCGAUCAUCGAACACAGAACCCUUGCAGGUUCUGUCCAUCUCUCAGGCCAUUACACACCCUAGCUGGAACUCUACCACCAUGAACAAUGACGUGACGCUGCUGAAGCUCGCCUCGCCAGCCCAGUACACAACACGCAUCUCGCCAGUUUGCCUGGCAUCCUCAAACGAGGCUCUGACUGAAGGCCUCACGUGUGUCACCACCGGCUGGGGUCGCCUCAGUGGUGUGGGCAAUGUGACACCAGCACGUCUGCAGCAGGUGGCUUUGCCCCUAGUCACUGUGAAUCAGUGCCGGCAGUACUGGGGCUCAAGUAUCACUGACUCCAUGAUCUGUGCAGGUGGCGCAGGUGCCUCCUCGUGCCAGGGUGACUCCGGAGGCCCUCUUGUCUGCCAGAAGGGAAACACAUGGGUGCUUAUUGGUAUUGUCUCCUGGGGCACCAAAAACUGCAAUGUGCGCGCACCUGCUGUGUAUACUCGAGUUAGCAAGUUCAGCGCCUGGAUCAACCAGGUCAUAGCCUACAACUGAGCCCACCACAGGCCCCUCCCCAGCUCAACCCAUUAAA
rnacentral:sRNA from 1 species